rnacentral:tRNA from 1 species
AGUCGUAUGGUCUAAUGGUUAUGAUUUCUCGUUCACAAUUGCAUGUGUACCCAAACCCGAGAAGGUUCCGUGUUCGAUCCACGGUACGACUA